AGAUUUUUUAAAGUAUUAUGAUAUAGUUUCCCUUUCAGACCUUGUGGUCCAAAGGGCAAAUGAUGUAAAGUCAUCUCUGUUUCUGUGGCCUACGGUUAUGGUAUAGCUAUUUUAAAUAGAACUUUCUAUCUUUGAAUGAAUGCAUAAUAAAAAAAAAAUAGGCAACAUAAAUUAGAUAGAGCCGCAUCAGUGCUUUACAUUCUGACUCUGUUCUGGGCUAUUCCCCAUCCAUUUCCAUCCUGCCAACUUUCCUUCUUGGUCUGCAGGUUUGAUCUAUGUUUGUGUCACAGAUUCCUUAUUAUAUUUAUAAUAAUAACUCUAUAGAAUCUACCUUAGUUCUCGAUACGUCUAGGUGUCCCUGGUUCAGUUCUAGUUAAUGAAAUAAAACAAUGAAAGCACUAGAUCAAACACAUAAACUUUAAUCAGCUUUACUGCAUAUCACACACGCUGGUCUCUGUCUAACAACCAACACACUUCCAGUCAUUCGCGCAGAUUGUAAAAAUAUAUUAUACAUACAUAAACACAUUCAUCCAUGACAUCUCGCCCCUCCUAAAAUUAUAAUCGAUUUUUACAAAGAUUACUAAAUAAAAUGAUUAUAAAACAAAUAUCAAACAUUACACCACAAUACAACAAAAAUGUUCGUUCGAUAGGCCACAAAUGCUCUGAAUAUGCCACACAGGCGUUUAUGUAUCCAAACAAACUUGAACAUAGUCACACAGACUUUAAUGUAGUCACACAGACUUUAAUGUAGUCACACAGACUGCAAUGUAAUAGGCACACAGUCUAUAGUUAAGACACACAGUCUUAGAAGAUGAAGACACACAGUCUUAAAAGAUGAAGACACACAGUCUUAAAAGCUGAAGACACACAGUCUUAAAAGAUGAAGACACACAGUCUUAAAAGAUGAAGACACACAGUCUUAAAAGAUGAAGACACAAAGUCUUAGUUGUAGACAGAAAGUCUACCAUCAAGCAACAAAGUCUAAACUGUUGAAGACACAAAGUCUUCGAUGAAGCAACACAUGCUUGUGAGAAGCCACGUAGGCUUAUAUCUAUGAUAAGCGUGGCAGAAUGUCCGCUAUGACGUUUCCUUUACCUGGAAUAUGCUGCACUUCGAACUGAAAGUCCUGAAGCAUCAGGGGCCCAGCAAGUUACCCUGGAAUUCACCGACUUGUGUUUAAACAGCGUAAGGGUGCGUGAUCUGUGCGCAGUACGAAUGUUCUGCCCAAUAGAUAUCUGGCCAACUUGGUUACUGCCCAAACAACUGCCAAGCACUCUCUUUCUACUGUGCUGUAUCUUUGUUCGUGCUGUCCCCAUAUGACCCACAAAAGGUGAGUCAUGACCUAACUCCAAAAUUCUUUAUCUUUCGGCGGCAGGGAUGACUAGCUGUAGUUUCUCUUUGUUAUCUUGUCUCAUCAGAAGUCCAUUUUUCACUUUAAAUUUACUGGUGGGACGCUUUGCCAAUUCAAAAAGUUUAACCAAUGUUUGGUCCUCCUUUUGUUUCAAUGCAUAACUGGAUGUUAAUUCUGAUUCUGGCUGUUCAAUCUAUGUAGGAUCGGUUGUCCCAUGUUUUCUAUUACACCAGAUUGAGAUCUAGACAUUGCUCACCUUUGCCACUUGUAGAUAUCUGUGAUGGUAGGCUCAGUUAUGCCAGUCACGUUUCCUAGAAUCAAGUCAGCUGCAGGCCUCUCCAACACACAUGCUUCAACUUUUCCAGAUAAAAAUGGCGUAUCAAUGUCAAUGACAGCUGUGGGAUAUUCUUCAAUUGUUCCUCCAAAUGUCAUACAUUAGACUUUCUUACCCGUCAAGUGGUGAGGGUGCACAUGUAGUCUCUUCACUCCAAUUGUGGUCGCUCCUGUGUCUCUUGUUAGACACCUUAUUUAUAUAGGUUAGUUAUUUUAGUUAUUUAGCGACGCACCAUAGUAGACGCAUAUUGAACGGGACUAGUGACGUUUGGGAUAUGUUGGGUUAGAGACCGGAAAAUCAGUUAGCGUUAGAACAUUCCAGGGUAACGACGUGUUUAGUGACAGAGACUUCUACUGUGGCCUUUUAUCAUAAUAAAUAUAUAUUAACUUGUUCAUCAUCGUUGACUACAUCUCUUCACCUGUUACAAUCGAUGUGCCAGUUCUUGUUUGUGUUGUUGGUCAACUACACGUAAUACACCCGAACAAUUACACCCAAACGAUUGCAGAGUAAUUGGUUGACUUCAAGACAGCCUGAACUAGCAACAUCACAGUGGCGACCCCGAACCUCGAAGCCGAACCUCGAAGCCGAACAUCGUACCGGACCUCGAAGCAGAACGUUUACUCAGGUGAGGGUCGUGCACUCGAAGAUAUAAGAUUUCAUCGGAGUACGGCUGAACACAGCAGUAUCGCAGGGUGACUUUGUUCUAGAUCUACAUACAGUCGUCGUCUGUUUGAUCGCACGUUCAACGAGCCGUUAACUCAGGGUGACCUUCGUCAGGACCGUAAUCAUCGCAACGCCUGAUCUUCAUAUGCUGAACCGACCUACAACCAGAGAAACCGUUCAUUCAUAACGGGUGAGAGAUCGUUAGUGAACCUGUUGGACAUAUUUUUUUUCUUCGUCAUAGGAGCCACGUCGAGUAUCAAGUUUUACCUCGUCAGUUUCGAGAAGGACAGUUUGCCCGCUGUCAGAAGUAUUGUGAGUACUACAAGUUUGGUAGCUAACUAAAUCGAAAUCGCUCUGUCGUCUUACCCUUGGAGAGAUUCUUGUGGAGCAGUUUGCUCAUUGAACCGGUUGCUUGCCACGUUUAUAACGGUCACUGUGUUUAACCUUUGGAAGGUUAGUGAAGUAAUAUUUAACAGUACUGAACAUUGAUAUAUCUAGUAUUCGUCGGUCUAGACCAUACCUAGACUUGUUAGCAGUGAAGUUGUGGAAACAGCUACAUUCACUUAAUUUCGUUGAAAACCGUUAAUCGUCUAACGGAACAUCGUCGGAGGUGACCUUGGUUUCACCUAGUCUGCAUUGGACAGUUUGGUCUAAUGAAGCAGAGUACAACAGCAAACUUCGUCGUACUACCAGAGUAGCAGCAGAAGCAGUGAACUAUUUUAGAGAACCGUUAUUCGUCAGCCCAGAUCAAGUCAUCGUCAAGAAAGUCGUUAUUCGUCAGCCCAGAUCAAGUCAUCGUCAAGAAAUUCGUUAUUCGUCAGUCGUCCAGAUCAAGUUGCCGUCAAGAGACUGUUAUUUGUCAGUAGUCGUCUACACAAGUCAAGUCAUCGCCAGAAGAACCGUUAACCUAUUCGUCAGUAACUGUGUACACAAAGUCGUCGGAACUACACAUACGGUCAUCAACAGUCGUCGAAGAAACUGGAACAUUUUGCUGUGGCAUAUCAGGACAUCUGUGGCAUUACGUGGGAUACUGGUAGCACCGGAGAACAGAGUCAGAACUGGAAGAGAGGCAGUGGAAUUUGUUGUGAUCUAACAUAUUCGGGAGUCCGAACAAAGGGAUCUUUCUUAUCAAAAGCUAAGUGCCAUUUUUCUUAUUAGUAUAUGUUUAGAUUGCCCUUAGAAAUAGAUUUUGUCUAAAUUUGGUACGUUAGCCUGAGUAAAAUCAGGUGGUGCGCCUUAAAACCCGUCGGGGUAGAAGACGUAAUUUAGAUGAAAAGCUAUAUUAUACAUUUAGGAUUGUAAUUUGUUUUGUUUGUGUAAACGUCAUAUCCGUUGUUGCCUGGUUACUUCGUGACGUUAUCAUUGUGUGCCAUAUUGUCACAUCCCAACCCAUAGUGAUAGUCUCAUUUAAUUAUUUCAUUUGUUUAUAUUAUUUUAAAUUAUUUAUUUUUAUUAAUUUAAUUAGAUCUGUAAUUUUUUUUCACUUAAUGAUAGAAAGUGCGGGUAGGAUUCUUUUACUGUGAAUCAGACUAAAAUAAUUUUAGUUUGAGCGGUUAAAAUCAAAUAUGAUUUUGCCAUGAGAAUAAUGCCGAAACUGGCUAUGUAGUCAAACACUAUCGUCUGGCUAAAUUUAGAUCUGCAAAUUGUUGUACAUCUCUUUGGUACAAUUUGAGUAUCUAGACUCUAAUUUAAAAUAUUAUUAAUUGGAAGAUGAAUGAAGAUUACUGCCAGUGAAGAACAUUUGAGAUGUGUAGGACAUGCCCAUAAGAUGCCACAUUUUCCUCUAUGAUGAACUGUGUACUAAGGAGGAUGAUUUUGGAAUGUUAUGAACUGUUAUGAACAUUGACAUGAAUAUGAGGAACUGUCAAGAUGAAGAUGUCAAGAUGAAGAUGUCAAGAUUUUAUGUUUGUGGUCUUCCCCUUAGAUUGAAAAUGCCCUUGUAAGACUUGACAGUAGUGGAAAAAUAUUGACAUAUUUUUUUUCAAGGGGGGGAGGAAUCUGUUAGACACCUUAUUUAUAUAGGUUAGUUAUUUUAGUUAUUUAGCGACGCACCAUAGUAGACGCAUAUUGAACGGGACUAGUGACGUUUGGGAUAUGUUGGGUUAGAGACCGGAAAAUCAGUUAGCGUUAGAACAUUCCAGGGUAACGACGUGUUUAGUGACAGAGACUUCUACUGUGGCCUUUUAUCAUAAUAAAUAUAUAUUAACUUGUU